rnacentral:misc_RNA from 1 species
GCCAUCUCGUCGUUCGGCUCCUUGAAUCUGUUCGUGGGCAUUUUCCUUAUAAUUUUGAUUAACGUCCUUUGCUACGCUUUCUCCUGCUCUUAUUGGAAUCUAAGUCUAUAUAGAAUAAUAGAUAUGUCAAAUAGCUUCUUCGAAGCAUUCUUCCUAAUACCGGGGAUUCCCCAAAAGUCACUUUCACACUUGGAUUCGAUGGUGCGUAGCGUAAAAGACCCGCAGCAUAUUCGUCGCAAACAGGGGAUUUGCCCACUAAGAGCCCAUCAUUUGCCCGAGAUUAGUGAGUCAUAUGCCGAAUGCCGAAAAUGGUCUUCAUUCUAGAACGAAUAUGCCAUGCCUUAGAGCAGUUCAGUUCCUUGUCCGAUUCUCUCUCUCUCCUUGGCCCUAGACUGCUUUCUUACUCGUGAAAAGGUUUUUGGCAAGAUAAGAUGGAUAGGAUUUCUGACUUCCUAUACCUAACAAAUAGGGCAUGAGGGCUUCAAGCCUAUGAUAAGACAGUCCUGUCUCGAUCCUUUUUCUAUUUCUUUCUUCUUUUUUUCUAUUACA